rnacentral:piRNA from 1 species
UGAAUGAUGGGCAUUUCCUGACUAUUGGCCA